rnacentral:rRNA from 1 species
UGGGGAAUUUUGGACAAUGGGCGAAAGCCUGAUCCAGCAAUGCCGCGUGUGUGAAGAAGGCCUUCGGGUUGUAAAGCACUUUUGUCCGGAAAGAAAUCCUUGGCUCUAAUACAGUCGGGGGAUGACGGUACCGGAAGAAUAAGCACCGGCUAACUACGUGCCAGCAGCCGCGGUAAUACGUAGGGUGCAAGCGUUAAUCGGAAUUACUGGGCGUAAAGCGUGCGCAGGCGGUUUGCUAAGACCGAUGUGAAAUCCCCGGGCUCAACCUGGGAACUGCAUUGGUGACUGGCAGGCUAGAGUAUGGCAGAGGGGGGUAGAAUUCCACGUGUAGCAGUGAAAUGCGUAGAGAUGUGGAGGAAUACCGAUGGCGAAGGCAGCCCCCUGGGCCAAUACUGACGCUCAUGCACGAAAGCGUGGGGGAGCAAAACAGGAUUAGAUACCCUGGUAGUCCACGCCCUAAACGAUGUCAACUAGUUGUUGGGGAUUCAUUCCUUAGUAACGUAGCUAACGCGUGAAGUUGACCGCCUGGGGAGUACGGUCGCAAGAUUAAAACUUAAAGGAAUUGACGGGGUCAUAGCUGUUUCCU